rnacentral:rRNA from 1 species
GUGUCAGCAGCCGCGGUAAUACGUAGGGUGCAAGCGUUAAUCGGAAUUACUGGGCGUAAAGCGUGCGCAGGCGGUUCCGCAAGUCAGAUGUGAAAUCCCCGGGCUCAACCUGGGAACUGCAUUUGAAACUACGGGGCUAGAGUGUGUCAGAGGGGGGUGGAAUUCCACGUGUAGCAGUGAAAUGCGUAGAGAUGUGGAGGAACACCAAUGGCGAAGGCAGCCCCCUGGGAUGACACUGACGCUCAUGCACGAAAGCGUGGGGAGCAAACAGGAUUAGAAACCCUGGUAGUCC